rnacentral:rRNA from 1 species
CCUACGGGAGGCAGCAGUGGGGGAUAUUGCACAAUGGGGGAAACCCUGAUGCAGCGACGCCGCGUGUGGGAAGACGGUCCUCUGGUUUGUAAACCACUGUCCCCAGGGACGAAGAUGACGGUACCUGGGGAGGAAGCUCCGGCUAACUACGGCACAGAAGCCGCGGUAAUAAGUAGGGAGCGAGCGUUGUCCGGAAGUACGGGGUGCAAGGGGAGCGUAGGCGGGACUGCAAGUUGGGUGUCAAAUCUACCGGCUCAACCGGUAGCCGCACUCAAAACUGCAGUUCUUGAGUGAAGUAGAGGCAGGCGGAAUUCCUAGUGUAGCGGUGAAAUGCGGAGAUAUUAGGAGGAACACCAGUGGCGAAGGCGGCCUGCUGGGCUUUUACUGACGCUGAGGCUCGAAAGUGUGGGGAGCAAACAGGAUUAGAUACCCCUGUAGUC